GUUAGGAAUAUUGGACAAUGGGCGAAAGCCUGAUCCAGCCAUGCCGCGUGAACGAUGAAGGCCUUCGGGUUGUAAAGUUCUUUAGCCGAUGAUUAUAAUGACUGUAGUCGGAAAAUAAGCCCCGGCUAACUUCGUGCCAGCAGCCGCGGUAAUACGAAGGGGGCGAGCGUUAUUCGGAAUCACUGGGCGUAAAGCGUGCGUAGGCGGCUUUGCAAGUUGGGAGUGAAAGCCCAGGGCUCAACCCUGGAAUUGCUCUCAAAACUGCAAGGCUCGAAUUCGGGAGAGGAUAGCGGAAUUGUCAGUGUAGCAGUGAAAUGCGUAGAUAUUGACAGGAACACCAGUGGCGUAAGCGGCUAUCUGGACCGAUAUUGACGCUGAGGCACGAAAGCGUGGGGAUCAAACAGGAUUAGAAACCCUGGUAGUCC
rnacentral:rRNA from 1 species